rnacentral:rRNA from 1 species
GAUGAACGCUGGCGGCAGGCCUAACACCUGCAAGUCGAGCGAGCGGCGGACGGGUGAGUAAUGUCUGGGAAACUGCCUGAUGGAGGGGGAUCACUACUGGAAACGGUAGCUAAUACCGCAUACCAUCAGAUGUGCCCAGUUUGGAUUAGCUAGUAUGUGGGGUAACGGCGCACCUAGGCGACGAUCCCUAGCUGGUCUGAGAGGAUUACCAGCCACACUGUAACUGAGACACGGUCCAGACUCCUACGGGAGGCAGCAGUGGGGAAUAUUGCACUAUGGGCGCAAGCCGGAUGCAGCCAUGCCGCGUGUAUGAAGAAGGCCUUCGGGUUGUAAAGUACUUUCAGCGGGGAGGCGUUACCCGCAGAAGAAGCACCGGCUAACUCCGUGCCAGCAGCCGCGGUAAUUC